GUGCUCACUUUGGCAGCAUAUAUACUGAAAUUGGAACGAUACAGAGAUUAGCAUGGCCCCUGUGCAAGGAUGACACGCAAAUUCAUGAAGCGUUCCAUAUUUUU